rnacentral:rRNA from 1 species
GAUGAACGCUAGCUACAGGCUUAACACAUGCAAGUCGAGGGACCGGCGUAAGGGUGAGUAACGUGUAUCCAACCUUCCCAUUACUGUGGGAUAAACUGCCGAAAGGCAGACAAAUACCGAAUAGUACUGGAUGGGGAUGCGUCUGAUUAGCUUGUGGGCGGGGGAACGGCCAACCAAGGCUACGAUCAGUAGGGGGUCUGAGAGGAAGUCCCACGAGAUUGGAACUGAGACACGGUCCAAUCUGGGACGGGAGGGAGCAGUGAGGUAUAUUGUGGAAGGGACGGAGGUCUGACCCUGCCAAGUGUGGUGCAGGAGUACUGCGUGUGGAUUAUAUACUGCUUGUGUAUAAGGGUAGGUACCAUAUGAAUAAGGACCGGCUAAUUCCGUGCCAGCAGCCGCGGUAAUUC